ACAUGCUUUUAAACCACAAGAAAAAUAAUCAAGUAGAAAUGGCAAAAGUUUCAAUUUGUUUCUAUCUCCUUCUUAUCAUCACAUAUUUCUCUGUUUUCAACCUUACUACUGUUCAAGCUCAUCAACUGAAGGAAUGUACUUCUCUAAUUUCUCUAAUAAGAUGCAAGGAUGUCAAUGAUUGUGUGCCUAUUUGCAAGAAGAAAUAUCCUACUGCAACAUUUCCUAAGUCUUGUAUGGGGGGUGGUUCUGUUUGUAUUUGUGCCUACAAUUCAUCAAAAUGUGAGAAUUAGCAUUUGUUUGAUUGAAUUUAUAUGUUUGAUGUUUUAUGGCCAAA